GGCGGCGUGCUUAACACAUGCAAGUCGAACGGUAAGGCCCUUCGGGGUACACGAGUGGCGAACGGGUGAGUAACACGUGGGUGAUCUGCCCUGCACUUUGGGAUAAGCCUGGGAAACUGGGUCUAAUACCGAAUAGGACCAUGGACUUCACGGUUUGUGGUGGAAAGCUUUUGCGGUGUGGGAUGGGCCCGCGGCCUAUCAGCUUGUUGGUGGGGUAAUGGCCUACCAAGGCGACGACGGGUAGCCGGCCUGAGAGGGUGACCGGCCACACUGGGACUGAGAUACGGCCCAGACUCCUACGGGAGGCAGCAGUGGGGAAUAUUGCACAAUGGGCGCAAGCCUGAUGCAGCGACGCCGCGUGAGGGAUGACGGCCUUCGGGUUGUAAACCUCUUUCAGCACAGACGAAGCGCAAGUGACGGUAUGUGCAGAAGAAGGACCGGCCAACUACGUG
rnacentral:rRNA from 1 species